UCCCUGGUGGCUCAGAUGGUAAAGCAUCUGCCUGCAGUGCAGGAGACCCAGGUUCGAUUACUGCACUGGGAA
rfam:Ovis aries breed Texel chromosome 3, whole genome shotgun sequence.